AACGUAGGGUGCAAGCGUUGUCCGGAAUUACUGGGUGUAAAGGGAGCGCAGGCGGACCGGCAAGUUGGAAGUGAAAACUAUGGGCUCAACCCAUAAAUUGCUUUCAAAACUGCUGGCCUUGAGUAGUGCAGAGGUAGGUGGAAUUCCCGGUGUAGCGGUGGAAUGCGUAGAUAUCGGGAGGAACACCAGUGGCGAAGGCGACCUACUGGGCACCAACUGACGCUGAGGCUCGAAAGCAUGGGUAGCAAACAGGAUUAGAUACCCUGGUAGUCCAUGCCGUAAACGAUGAUUACUAGGUGUUGGAGGAUUGACCCCUUCAGUGCCGCAGUUAACACAAUAAGUAAUCCACCUGGGGAGUACGACCGCAAGGUUGAAACUCAAAGGAAUUGACGGGGGCCCGCACAAGCAGUGGAGUAUGUGGUUUAAUUCGAAGCAACGCGAAGAACCUUACCAGGUCUUGACAUCCGAUGCAUAGCACAGAGAUGUGUGAAAUCCUUCGGGACAUCGAGACAGGUGGUGCAUGGUUGUCGUCAGCUCGUGUCGUGAGAUGUUGGGUUAAGUCCCGCAACGAGCGCAACCCUUAUGGUCAGUUACUACGCAAGAGGACUCUGGCCAGACUGCCGUUGACAAAACGGAGGACUGAAUGUAAUGACGGUAGUUACGGGAGUCAGCGGUUCGG
rnacentral:rRNA from 1 species